rnacentral:rRNA from 1 species
AGCGAACGCUGGCGGCAGGCCUAACACAUGCAAGUCGAACGAACCCUUCGGGGUUAGUGGCGGACGGGUGAGUAACACGUGGGAACGUGCCUUUAGGUUCGGAAUAACUCAGGGAAACUUGUGCUAAUACCGAAUGUGCCCUUCGGGGGAAAGAUUUAUCGCCUUUAGAGCGGCCCGCGUCUGAUUAGCUAGUUGGUGAGGUAAUGGCUCACCAAGGCCACGAUCAGUAGCCGGUCUGAGAGGAUUACCAGCCACAUUGGGACUGAGACACGGCCCAAACUCCUACGGGAGGCAGCAGUGGGGAAUCUUGCGCAAUGGGCGAAAGCCUGACGCAGCCAUGCCGCGUGGAUGAUGAAGGUCUUAGGAUUGUAAAAUCCUUUCACCGGUGAAGAUAAUGACUGUAGCCGGAGAAGAAGCCCCGGCUAACUUCGUGCCAGCCGCCGCCGUAACAC